CUGCAGCUCAAGUGGUGACCACUAUUAUUGGGCCUAAAACGUUCGUAGCCGGUUUGGUAAAUGCCUGGGUAAAUCGUGUAGCUUAACUAUACGAAUUCCGGGUAGACUGCCAAACUUGAGACCGGGAGAAGCUAGAGGUACUCCUGGGGUAGAGGUGAAAUUCUGUAAUCCUGGGGGGACCACCAGUGGCGAAGGCGUCUAGCUAGAACGGGUCUGACGGUGAGGAACGAAGCCCUGGGGCGCAAACCGGAUUAGAUACCCGAGUAGUC
rnacentral:rRNA from 1 species